rnacentral:tRNA from 1 species
GUCAGGAUGGCCCGAGAGUUCUAAGGCGCCUUACUCAAGAACCGAGGUUCUUCGCCCGACAUGAGGUGUAGAGUAUUCUGGUCUCCGAAUGGAGGCGUGGGUUCGAAUCCCACUUCUGACA